rfam:Triticum aestivum genome assembly, contig: Triticum_aestivum_CS42_TGACv1_scaffold_030266_1BL
CACCUACUCCCUCCGUCCAAAAAAGCUUAUCCCUUAGAUCAAUGUAUAUAGCAUCAAGUUAGUGUUAGAUACAUUCAUUUAAGAAACAAGCUUGGGACAAGGUUUUUCGGAUGGAGGGAGUAUAAG